rnacentral:rRNA from 1 species
CCUANGGGUGGCAGCAGUGGGGAAUUUUGGACAAUGGGGGCAACCCUGAUCCAGCCAUGCCGCGUGCGGGAAGAAGGCCUUCGGGUUGUAAACCGCUUUUGUCCGGGAAGAAAUGGCAUCCCCUAAUACGGGGUGUUCCUGACGGUACCGGAAGAAUAAGCACCGGCUAACUACGUGCCAGCAGCCGCGGUAAUACGUAGGGUGCGAGCGUUAAUCGGAAUUACUGGGCGUAAAGCGUGCGCAGGCGGUUCGCUAAGUCUGAUGUGAAAGCCCCGGGCUCAACCUGGGAACUGCAUUGGAAACUGGCGAGCUUGAGUGUGGCAGAGGGGGGUGGAAUUCCACGUGUAGCAGUGAAAUGCGUAGAGAUGUGGAGGAACACCGAUGGCGAAGGCAGCCCCCUGGGCUAACACUGACGCUCAGGCACGAAAGCGUGGGGAGCAAACAGGAUUAGAUACCCCGNUANUC